CACUCCAGCCUGUGGUAUAAAAACCCCAGAGCUCCUCAGUGCAGACCACAGUUCAGCCCCCGCCCCCCACACUGACAGAGAAGCCACCUCAGCUGCAGAGCCAUGAAGUUCCUGCUGGUCCUCGUUCUCGUCGUCUUCACCGGUUGUGACGCCCGCCUGCUGCGGCAGCCCAAACAGCCCAAACAGCAGGUGGACCUGGUGAAGGAUGCCUUCUGGGAGUACGUGGCCAAGGCCACCACCACGGCCGAGGAGUCGCUGAAGCAGAUCCAGCAGUCGGAGCUGGGAAAGGACAUCAAGUAAGUCUGAGUCCGGAAGGUUCCUUAUGGUCAAACCAGUCGUCUCUGACGUCAUCGUCUCUGUGUCCUGUGCUGAAAUGUUCUACAGCAGCAUCUGGUGGUUGGAAUUUGUCAAGGAUUUUUUUUCAAAUCAUCAGCUGUGAU